rnacentral:rRNA from 1 species
GAUGAACGCUGGCGGCGUACCUAAUACAUGCAAGUCGAGCGAACUGAUUAGAAGCUUGCUUCUAUGACGUUAGCGGCGGACGGGUGAGUAACACGUGGGCAACCUGCCUGUAAGACUGGGAUAACUUCGGGAAACCGAAGCUAAUACCGGAUAGGAUCUUCUCCUUCAUGGGAGAUGAUUGAAAGAUGGUUUCGGCUAUCACUUACAGAUGGGCCCGCGGUGCAUUAGCUAGUUGGUGAGGUAACGGCCCACCAAGGAAACGAUGCAUAGCCGACCUGAGAGGGUGAUCGGCCACACUGGGACUGAGACACGGCCCAGACUCCUACGGGAGGCAGCAGUAGGGAAUCUUCCGCAAUGGACGAAAGUCUGACGGAGCAACGCCGCGUGAGUGAUGAAGGCUUUCGGGUCGUAAAACUCUGUUGUUAGGGAAGAACAAGUACGAGAGUAACUGCUCGUACCUUGACGGUACCUAACCAGAAAGCCACGGCUAACUACGUGCCAGCCGCCGCAGUAAUAC